rnacentral:rRNA from 1 species
UACGUAGGUGACAAGCGUUGUCCGGAUUUACUGGGCGUAAAGAGCGCGCAGGCGGUCGAUCAAGUCGAGUGUGAAAGCCCCCGGCUCAACUGGGGAGGGUCACUCGAUACUGAUCGACUCGAAGGCAGAAGAGGGAAGCGGAAUUCCCGGUGUAGUGGUGAAAUGCGUAGAUAUUGGGAGGAACACCAGUGGCGAAGGCGGCUCACUGGACCGGAACUGACGCUGAGGCGCGAAAGCGUGGGGAGCAAACAGG